GGAUUUUGUUCAAAUUGAUUUCCACACAUCUGCAUUCUCAGAGCGUCUGCUUUGCAUGCAGAAGGUCCCAGGUUCAAUCCCUGGCAUCUCCA